rnacentral:rRNA from 1 species
GGUGAAGAAGUAUUUCGGUAUGUAAAGCUCUAUCAGCAGGGAAGAAAGACCUCGUAAGAGGGGAUGACGGUACCUGAGUAAGAAGCCCCGGCUAACUACGUGCCAGCAGCCGCGGUAAUACGUAGGGGGCAAGCGUUAUCCGGAUUUACUGGGUGUAAAGGGAGCGUARACGGUGUAUCAAGUCUGAAGUGAAACCCCACGGCUCAACCGUGGGCUUGCUUUGGAAACUGGUAKACUAGAGUACUGGAGAGGUAAGCGGAAUUCCUGGUGUAGUAGUGAAAUGCGUAGAUAUCAGGAAGAACAUCAGUGGCGAAGGCGGCUUACUGGACAGCAACUGACGUUGAGGCUCGAAGGCGUGGGGAGCAAACAGGAUUAGAUACCCUGGUAGUCCACGCAGUAAACGAUGAAUACUAGGUGUUGG